rnacentral:rRNA from 1 species
CACGUAGGGGGCGAGCGUUGUCCGGAUUCAUUGGGCGUAAAGGGCGCGCAGGCGGCUCGGAAAGUCGGGUGUGAAAACUCGGGGCUCAACCCCGGGCGUGCAUCCGAUACUGCCGGGCUUGAGGCAGGUAGGGGAGAUCGGAAUUCCUGGUGUAGCGGUGAAAUGCGCAGAUAUCAGGAGGAACACCGGUGGCGAAGGCGGAUCUCUGGGCCUGUCCUGACGCUGAGGCACGAAGGUCAGGGGAGCAAACGGG